ensembl:snRNA U6 U6 spliceosomal RNA
UUGCUUUGGCAGCACAUAUACUAAAACUGGAACAAUACAGAGAAGAUUAGCAGGGCCCCUGCGCAGGAUGACAAGCAAAUUCCUGCAGAGUUGCAUAUUUUU